rnacentral:rRNA from 1 species
AUUGAACGCUGGCGGAAUGCUUUACACAUGCAAGUCGAACGGCAGCACGGGGCAACCUGGUGGCGAGUGGCGAACGGGUGAGUAAUAUAUCGGAACGUGCCCAAUCGUGGGGGAUAACGUAGCGAAAGUUACGCUAAUACCGCAUACGAUCUACGGAUGAAAGCGGGGGAUCGCAAGACCUCGCGCGAAUGGAGCGGCCGAUAUCAGAUUAGGUAGUUGGUGGGUAAAGGCUCACCAAGCCAACGAUCUGUAGCUGGUCUGAGAGGACGACCAGCCACACUGGAACUGAGACACGGUCCAGACUCCUACGGGAGGCAGCAGUGGGGAAUUUUGGACAAUGGGCGCAAGCCUGAUCCAGCCAUUCCGCGUGCAGGAUGAAGGCCUUC